AUCAAGGAUAUAGCUAUACUUGAUUCUGACAAGUGUGUCGAUUCAUUUGGGCUUGACCCUGAGAAGGACACCAAAUUUAUCUUUGGAUGUACUGGUUCAUGUAGUAAGACCAAGGUUGUGGAUGCAGAAGGAAUGACAAGGUACACACGAACAUGUGCGAUUAUUGCCUCCAAGGAAGAUAAAUGCUCGGAUACUGAAGCAGCUGAUGGUACCAAGACUACCGUGUGCUACUGCAACAGCCAGCACUGUAAUGGUGGAGAGUCUGUCAGGGCACAAAUCUCCGUGUUUCUGACUGCAAUUGGAUUGAUGUAUAUCUACUUUUCCUAAUCAGGUCAGAUCACAAUCGUCUACAAUCAACCUGGUACUCUCUUGUAGGUGUUGAUUUGAUAUCAGAUAAGUGAUUGUUCCUUGGAGGGCAAUUACCCCCUGUCAUGAUGUAGUACAUUAAAUUUUCAUAUCGUUUUGCUAAUAGAAAUUCAACUACCUGCUUAUCAGUGUAAAAAAGAUAGAUAGUUUGUGUGUGAUAUACUUAUAUACUAGGCUAUUACAUGACAGGUGAAAUAUCAAUGUGGUUUUAGGAUAGAUGGUUUUUAAAAUAUAAAAGUUGUACUGCAUAUUAACAAUGCAGCAUGUUGUCCAAAUAUGCACUAGUGCUUAUCUUUGUAUUAUUCUGAUAUCACAUGCAGUAGGAAAUAGCAUAUAUUUGAUUCUAAUUAUGACAUAUAUAUAUAUAUAUCCACAGUAAGAACCUAGUGAACUAUAUUCCAUGAUCACCAGUAUUGUGCAGGCAUCUGUUUCUUCUGUGAUCUCUUAUUAGCUCAAAAACGAAAAUGCAUGUACCUGGGGUGAACACCUUGUGUAUGUGUUAUUGGUCUGCAGAGGUAGCUCGUAAACUUGAGAUUUUUUAAAGAAUUUUGUGACAAAUAUAGUCCACUUUCGUGCAUUCUGUGCAUGAAAAGUUCUUUAGUUAACCCUGUAUCCAUCACUGGUUAUUUUCCUAGCAUGAUCGUAGGUCUCACCUCACCCCUGACACAUCUCACGUUAACCACUGAUCGCUCAUGGAGCUUGUGGAAUGGCACUGGCAUCAGUUCAUAAUAGCAAUAACAGGAAAAAUCACAACAGCUUUGCAAUAUAUGCUAUGCUGAAGGGUGUGCAAAAAUUCACCACUAAGAGCAGGAAAAUGUGAGUCACCAGUAGCGGAUCCAGGGGAAGGGGCACAGGGGGCAGUCGCCACCCUAGAAUUUUCAGGGCAAGGGUAUUUUAGCUUAACACCUUCCCCCCUCGGCCGCUUUGUGCCCUUGAGCUCGCAUGAUCCCCCACUUGUCAAUGCCAUCAGUCAAACAAAGUGGUGAUAGCCAAUUUCUCCAAUAACUUGAGACAUAGGGUCAGUACUUUACAAGUUACAUCCACACAACAGUAUGAGGACUCUAAAUGGCCUCACUAACAUUUAUUUGGGAUAUAUAUAUGGUUACAAAUCAGCUAGAUUGAGUUUAAGCUUGGAGAAAUCAUUCUGACGAAGAUUGAUGUCAGAAUGAUUACUCCAAGGUUUCGGUCAUUGAUCAAAGGGAGGUUAAUUAUAGUGGCUGGAACCGCAGUAGUACAGAGAGUGGUCCGAUUUUAUUAUUUAAUAUACUGAACAAGGAUUUGUAGCGUUCGUCUCUGGGACGUAGGGCCAUAGCGGAAAAUAACUUUGUGUGUGUACAUGUGUGCUGAAAUACACUGCAGUGUAAUAUCAGCACUAAAUUCAUGUAAAGGUCAAUGCUCAUUAAUAAAUGUGUGGUUUAUUUAUUUUUAUUUCUAUCCAUGGUCUGACAGGCCUAGUAAGAAGCAUAUAUUUCCAAUUAUAGAAAGAUGCAGGAAAUGUAUUUCUACAUUUAAAAAAAUUGUUUUAUUGUACUGUACUUUAAAUUUGAUCUUUAUAGUCGUAAUUUCAUUGCAUUCUUCGGUGCCAUAUGCAGAUGAUUUUUUAAUAUACCGGUACUUUGAUAUGUUCUGUCCCUACUGUUGUAUGGUGUGUUAUUAUGUGUUGCCAGCCUGAUUACAUUAAUUGUGUACUGCAAAAGCCAUUGUAACAUGUGAAAGGUCAGUGCUAUGAAAAAGUUCCAUGGACCAUGGUGCUUUGGUUCUGUGGUUGCAGCCUAUACAUAAUGCCAGCAUGCACAAGAUUAUGAGAUUACCUUCAAGCUGCAUGGUAGGCGUAUUUAGAUAGCCAACCUUUCUUAUAGCUGGUGCAUAUAUACUCUCAAUUCAUUGUUUCGCGCUCUCUCUCCUAAUCCUAUUCUAACCCUCUGCAUUCCCUUUUCUUUGCUACCCGCGUACAGUUUUGUUGCUUCCAUUAUUCUACCAAGGAAGGGCUCUACUUUCAGCCUUCUUUUCAUUUGCUUUCUUCCCUAACACAUAGAUCGACUUCUUUGUCUUCCUCUCGUACCUCCUCAUACAAUUAGAUCGCUGCCUUUCCCACCUUUUCCACCACCACCUCCAUAAUCUUAUUCCCUACCUUAUCCUCCACAAUCUUUUGUAAAUUCAACCAUCUGUGUCUAGAUGAAAACCAAUGCUAUUAUUAUGGUACAUAAUGUUGUAUUUUAGACUGCAACUAGGCUAUGUCAGUAUGUGCAAAACACAAUGAUCGUUUACUCUGCGUAUAUCUAUUAUAUAUGCUAUUUGAAUUUUGAUAUAAUUAUACAGUUGUCAUUUUAAUAAUUGUAUUUUAUGUGUGAAUUCGAUGCAACAUCGAGCAAUGAUAAUGAUAAUUUUUAUUUUUAUUCACGCUUGUAAGCAUUUUACAGCGUAGGUAUAUGUCCGAUCAUAGGUCCGAUACAAAAUUUCACUGUAGUGUAGGCACACAGCUUCUAAAGUAAAUAAAGGCAACUUUGAAGACAAUAA